CAACCUGCCGUCUACUCUUGGACAGCCUUCUGAAAGGAAGAUUAAUACAAGAUGGCAUCAUGAGUUCACAUGUUCACAUGAUUAAAGGUAUUCCGGUAGACGAUGGGGAUGCGUUCCAUUAGAUAGUAGGCGGGGUAACGGCCCACCUAGUCUUCGAUGGAUAGGGGUUCUGAGAGGAAGGUCCCCCACAUUGGAACUGAGACACGGUCCAAACUCCUACGGGAGGCAGCAGUGAGGAAUAUUGGUCAAUGGGCGCAGGCCUGAACCAGCCAAGUAGCGUGAAGGAUGACUGCCCUAUGGGUUGUAAACUUCUUUUAUAAAGGAAUAAAGUCGGGUAUGCAUACCCGUUUGCAUGUACUUUAUGAAUAAGGAUCGGCUAACUCCGUGCCAGCAGCCGCGGUAAUACGGAGGAUCCGGGCGUUAUCCGGAUUUAUUGGGUUUAAAGGGAGCGUAGAUGGAUGUUUAAGUCAGUUGUGAAAGUUUGCGGCUCAACCGUAAAAUUGCAGUUGAUACUGGAUAUCUUGAGUGCAGUUGAGGCAGGCGGAAUUCGUGGUGUAGCGGUGAAAUGCUUAGAUAUCACGAAGAACUCCGAUU
rnacentral:rRNA from 1 species